UGUUCGUCCUCGUCAGUGCCGGAGAGCUCCGUGGAAGUGGACCUUGAGGCGAGCCGCGGGGCUUCCUCUUCCUCCGAAUACGACGACAUCGAGGACGAAGCCGCCGACGCCGCCGCCGGUGCCGCUCGACUCCUGGGAGAGGAGCUGGCGACCCACGAACAGAGGGAAACCCUGGGGAACGUGGCCUGUGCCACUGGAAGAGAGGCGGAGUCUCAGGAGGACUAUGAUGAUGUCAUAGAGCUUCCAUUGGUCAGGGAGCCACAGUGUCUCCGUAACUAUGAGAACACCUCAGAGAGGAAACUGAGUAACACGGACAGCGAUGGCUUCCUGCAGCCAAUCCAACACGGCUCUCCAGUGGUGGAGUGAGCAGUUAGCCAACGUAAGGAUGGCUCACUCUCUAACCAGAUUUUGUUCAAUGCUUCAAUCUGGACCUAGUAGAGUUUUAAAAAUGAAACGUAUACACUGUUUAUUAUUAGGUGCGUACAGAAGUAUGAAAGGUUUGUGAAGGACAAAGUAUAUCAUUUUCUUUUGGCACAGAAUUGAACUGUAAAAACAAUGAGAAUUUUAGUGCUUUUUAAUCCGUGCAGUUACAUUAAAUUAUGGAGGGUGUUAUGGUCCAUAUGAAGAUAUACACUAGCUAGUAAAGGGAAUUACAAUAAUAAAACUAACCAUUAAAAUGUUGUACCUCAAGGACAGUUAAUGCUCACCCACAUUUAUAAUUAAAAACAGAACCUUGAGACAGUUUAGAAAUGUAAAUUAUAUUAGCAUUGCAUUAGCUAUUAUUCAAUAUUGAUAUAGCUAGUGAAUAAAUAGUAUUGUUUAUCUAGAAAGAUUUUUAUCUCCCUGUGCUUAUGAGAAUACACUUUUAGUCAUUGUCUGACUCGAUGUA